rnacentral:rRNA from 1 species
AGCGGACAGAUGGGAGCUUGCUCCCUGAUGUUAGCGGCGGACGGGUGAGUAACACGUGGGUAACCUGCCUGUAAGACUGGGAUAACUCCGGGAAACCGGGGCUAAUACCGGAUGCUUGUUUGAACCGCAUGGUUCAAACAUAAAAGGUGGCUUCGGCUACCACUUACAGAUGGACCCGCGGCGCAUUAGCUAGUUGGUGAGGUAAUGGCUCACCAAGGCAACGAUGCGUAGCCGACCUGAGAGGGUGAUCGGCCACACUGGGACUGAGACACGGCCCAGACUCCUACGGGAGGCAGCAGUAGGGAAUCUUCCGCAAUGGACGAAAGUCUGACGGAGCAACGCCGCGUGAGUGAUGAAGGUUUUCGGAUCGUAAAGCUCUGUUGUUAGGGAAGAACAAGUGCCGUUCAAAUAGGGCGGCACCUUGACGGUACCUAACCAGAAAGCCACGGCUAACUACGUGCCAGCAGCCGCGGUAAUACGUAGGUGGCAAGCGUUGUCCGGAAUUAUUGGGCGUAAAGGGCUCGCAGGCGGUUUCUUAAGUCUGAUGUGAAAGCCCCCGGCUCAACCGGGGAGGGUCAUUGGAAACUGGGGAACUUGAGUGCAGAAGAGGAGAGUGGAAUUCCACGUGUAGCGGUGAAAUGCGUAGAGAUGUGGAGGAACACCAGUGGCGAAGGCGACUCUCUGGUCUGUAACUGACGCUGAGGAGCGAAAGCGUGGGGAGCGAACAGGAUUAGAUACCCUGGUAGUCCACGCCGUAACGAUGAGUGCUAAGUGUUAGGGGGUUUCCGCCCCUUAGUGCUGCAGCUAACGCAUUAAGCACUCCGCCUGGGGAGUACGGUCGCAAGACUGAAACUCAAGAAUUGACGGGGGCCCGCACAAGCGUGGAGCAUGUGUUUAUUCGAAGCAACCGCGAAGAACCUUACC